rnacentral:lncRNA from 1 species
ACACUAUUCCCCAAGGUCGAGUAACCUUAACUUAUACACAUUUCAUAAACUAUUUAUUACAUAACAAUAUUUAUCACAAUACGCUAUUACAAACUAGCUGCACUUUAUAACCCAAGCUGAACUUGGCAUUAUCUUUUCCUGUAUCCGAAUGCAUUUGCCCUUAUCUGCAAUGUUUUAUCAUGAUAUAGCAAGGGUGAGCAUGAAAGUUGCCCAGCAAGUUUAAAUACAACAAUAUAAGGAUAUAUCAUGAUUGAAGAGUAUGAAUAAUGAGCUGGCUAUAAUUCAUCAAUAUAAUUGAGAACUAGCAGGAACAAACUUUUGACUGAACAAGUUUUAAACAUGAACAAACAUUUCUGAACCAACUGGUAAUGAAGGUGAUCAGCCUUUCAUACCUGACUUAUACAUGCAAGAUGUACAGAGUACAAUUUUCAUGGCAAUCAGCAAUGAUUAACCAUAAGCUUGAAUAAAACACUCUUAUUAGAGUUAAGUAAGAACAAACUUGCCUGAACCGUUGAUUACCGCAACGCAAUUUAUAUCGCUUUACCCGAAGACCUAAUAUUAAUAAUAUAGAUCUCCAAUAUUAGAAUCACAGUAUAAUUCUGUUAUAUUUAAAUACAAAGAAUAACCUAAACACAUAACACAUAA